AAUACAGUGUUGUUUACCUGUAUUUGUGUCUUACAGUAUUAUUUGGAUGUUUCUUCCAAUAUUAUAUGCCCCUUUUCAUUUAUUCGUAACUUUUAAACACCCUGGUGAGGUUUGUCAAUGUUGUCCUUUAAGUUACUAGCCUCAAAAUCCUGACGUACCAAGGUCCAAAUGGACCACAUAUAUUAGAACUUUGAAUUGGAACUUCCCACAAACACCUAUGAAAAACACAGCCUUUCUAACUGUGAUGCCCAGCUGUGAGUGUGUGAGUCUGGCUGGCCCUUCCUGUCUGAACAUUUCCAUGAUCUACAAACACAAAUACAGAAUUUUAACUGGCCCUGUUACAUUGCAGUCACAGCACUUUUGGUUCACAGGAAAUGUUUGAAUAAGUUGCUGUAUUUCUCUCUUUUUCUUGUUGAUGCUCUUCACAGACAGUACCCUGUUUAUAUGCUGUUUUCCAUCUGCCCCAAUGCCUUCACAGCAAAACCUAAUGUUUACAUUUUACAAAGAAACCCGAGGAUUUUACGUAAAUUUGUUUUAGUGAUGUGUUACAAAUUGCUAGUGUACCUGCCUUACCCUAUAUUGCACCACAUUAUCCUACAUCAUCCUGUGUCACACUACAUUACACUGUUUUACCCUGAAUUACACAUUAUUACACAACAUUACCUUACAUUUAACUAAGUUACUGCACAUUGAACUAUCCUACCUAACAUGUUCUGCAGCUUCAGCUUGACUAUUGACUGAUGGUUUAGGGAGUGUAGACCACUGGUAGGAGACACGUCCUGUAGUUGUCAGUGUAAUCAUUUCUAGGUAGAGGCCCAUCUCCACAUAGACCCAGUGUAAUCAUUUCUAGGUAGAGGCCCAUCUCCACAUAGACCCAGUGUAAUCAUUUCUAGGUAGAGGCCCAUCUCCACAUAGACCCAGUGUAAUAAUUUCUAGGUAAAGGCCCAUCUCCACAUAGACCCAGUGUAAUCAUUUCUAGGUAGAGACCCAUCUCCACAUAGACCCAGUGUAAUCAUUUCUAGGUAGAGACCCAUCUCCACAUAGACCCAGUGUAAUCAUUUCUAGGUAGAGGCCCAUCUCCACAUAGACCCAGUGUAAUAAUUUCUAGGUAGAGGCCCAUCUCCACAUAGACCAAGUGUAAUCAUUUCUAGGUAGAGACCCAUCUCCACAUAGACCCAGAG
ensembl:lncRNA